GGGGAAUUUUGGACAAUGGGCGCAAGCCUGAUCCAGCCAUGCCGCGUGCAGGAUGAAGGCCUUCGGGUUGUAAACUGCUUUUGUACGGAACGAAAAGGUGCCUUCUAAUAAAGGGCGCUCAUGACGGUACCGUAAGAAUAAGCACCGGCUAACUACGUGCCAGCAGCCGCGGUAAUACGUAGGGUGCGAGCGUUAAUCGGAAUUACUGGGCGUAAAGCGCGCGCAGGCGGUUUUGUAAGACAGAGGUGAAAUCCCCGGGCUCAACCUGGGAACCGCCUUUGUGACUGCAAGGCUGGAGUGCGGCAGAGGGGGAUGGAAUUCCGCGUGUAGCAGUGAAAUGCGUAGAUAUGCGGAGGAACACCGAUGGCGAAGGCAAUCCCCUGGGCCUGCACUGACGCUCAUGCACGAAAGCGUGGGGAGCAAACA
rnacentral:rRNA from 1 species